GCUGGGGCUAUGGCUCAGAGGUAGAGCGCUCACCUAGCAUGCGUGAGGCACUGGGUUCAAUCCUCAGCACAACA
rnacentral:tRNA from 1 species